AGUCGAACGGAAGCAUAGGUGCUUGCCCCUGAUGGCGAGUGGCGAACGGGUGAGUAAUACUUCGAACCUUGCCCAGUCGGGGGGGAUAACGUAGCGAAAGUUACGCUAAUACCGCAUACGAUCUGCGAAUGAAAGCGGGGGACCGUAGGGCCUCCCGCGAUUGGAGCGGCCGAUGUUAAAUUAGGUAGUUGGGGGGGAAAAGGCUCACCAAGCCAACAAUCUAUAGCUGGUCUGAGAGGAUGAUCAGCCACCCUGGGACUGAGACACGGCCCAAACUCCUACGGGAGGCAGCAGUGGGUUUUUUUGGACAAUGGGCGCAAGCCUGAUCCAGCCUUUCCGC
rnacentral:rRNA from 1 species